GACAGAGGUGCCGAGCGUUAGGCGGAAUCACUGGGCUUAAAGCGUGUGUAGGCGGGCGGCCAAGUACCUUGUGAAAUCCCACGGCUCAACCGUGGAACUGCUGGGUAUACUGGUCGUCUUGAGCCAAUCAGGGGCGAGCGGAACAGACGGUGGAGCGGUGAAAUGCGUAGAUAUUAGGAAGAACACCGGUGGCGAAGGCGGCCAUCUGGCUCGGUACUGACGCUCAGGCGCGAAAGCGUGGGGAGCAAACAGG
rnacentral:rRNA from 1 species